UGAACGCUGGCGGCAGGCUUAACACAUGCAAGUCGAGCGGGGGAAGGUAGCUUGCUACUGGACCUAGCGGCGGACGGGUGAGUAAUGCUUAGGAAUCUGCCUAUUAGUGGGGGACAACAUCUCGAAAGGGAUGCUAAUACCGCAUACGUCCUACGGGAGAAAGCAGGGGAUCUUCGGACCUUGCGCUAAUAGAUGAGCCUAAGUCGGAUUAGCUAGUUGGUGGGGUAAAGGCCUACCAAGGCGACGAUCUGUAGCGGGUCUGAGAGGAUGAUCCGCCACACUGGGACUGAGACACGGCCCAGACUCCUACGGGAGGCAGCAGUGGGGAAUAUUGGACAAUGGGGGGAACCCUGAUCCAGCCAUGCCGCGUGUGUGAAGAAGGCCUUAUGGUUGUAAAGCACUUUAAGCGAGGAGGAGGCUACUUUAGUUAAUACCUAGAGAUAGUGGACGUUACUCGCAGAAUAAGCACCAGCUAACUCUGUGCCAGCAGCCGCGGUAAUACAGAGGGUGCGAGCGUUAAUCGGAUUUACUGGGCGUAAAGCGUGCGUAGGCGGCUUAUUAAGUCGGAUGUGAAAUCCCCGAGCUUAACUUGGGAAUUGCAUUCGAUACUGGUGAGCUAGAGUAUGGGAGAGGAUGGUAGAAUUCCAGGUGUAGCGGUGAAAUGCGUAGAGAUCU
rnacentral:rRNA from 1 species